GAUGCUAAUACCGGAUAACAACAGAUGAUGCCUAUCAACUGUUUAAAAGAUGGUUCUGCUAUCACUCUUGGAUGGACCUGCGGUGCAUUAGCUAGUUGGUAGGGUAACGGCCUACCAAGGCGAUGAUGCGUAGCCGAGUUGAGAGACUGAUCGGCCACAUUGGGACUGAGACACGGCCCAAACUCCUACGGGAGGCAGCAGGG
rnacentral:rRNA from 1 species